UACAGAGGGGGCAAGCGUUAUUCGGAAUUAUUGGGCGUAAAGGGCGCGUAGGCGGCUUUGCAAGUGACGGGUGAAAUCCCUCGGCUUAACCCUGGAAUUGCCUUUAAGACUGCAUCGCUAGAAUUGUGGAGAGGUGAGUGGAAUUCCGAGUGUAGAGGUGAAAUUCGUAGAUAUUCGGAAGAACACCAGUGGCGAAGGCGACUACCUGGCCUGUUCUUGACGCUGAGGCGCGAAAGCUAGGGGAGCAAACGGG
rnacentral:rRNA from 1 species